CAAUAGCGUAUAUUAAAGCUGUUGCGGUUAAAAAGCUCGUAGUUGGAUUUCUGUCAAGGACAACUGGUCCGCCCUCCGGGUGAGCACAUAGUUUGGUCUUGGCAUCUUGCUGGAAACUGUUGCUGCACUUGGCUGUGUGGCGCAGCGUCCAGCACUUUCACUUUGAGGAAAUUGGAGUGUUUCAAGCAGGCACAUGCCUUUGGACACAGUAGCAUGGAAUAAUUAGAUUGGGCUUUUGCUCCAAUUUGUCGGUUUCUGGAGCUGAGGUGAGAAUUAAUGGGGAUUGUUGGGGGCAUCCAAAUUUAGCCGUCAGAGGUGAAAUUCUUGGAUCUGCUAAAGACGGACAACUGCGAAAGCGUUUGCCCAGGAUGUUUUCAUUGA
rnacentral:rRNA from 1 species